GACUAUCUGUGACUGUGUGUGUGAAUGUCUGCCUGUGACUAUCUGUGACUCUGUGUGUGAAUGUCUGCCUGUGACUGAUAGUCACAGGCAGACAUUCACACACACACACA